AACGAACGCUGGCGGCAUGCCUAACACAUGCAAGUCGAACGAGACCUUCGGGUCUAGUGGCGCACGGGUGCGUAACGCGUGGGAAUCUGCCCUGGGGUGCGGAAUAACUCGGAGAAAUCCGUGCUAAUACCGCAUAAUGUCUUCGGACCAAAGAUUUAUCGCCCUGGGAUGAGCCCGCGUAGGAUUAGCUAGUUGGUGGGUAAAGGCCUACCAAGGCGACGAUCCUUAGCUGGUCUGAGAGGAUGAUCAGCCACACUGGGACUGAGACACGGCCCAGACUCCUACGGGAGGCAGCAGUGGGGAAUAUUGGACAAUGGGCGAAAGCCUGAUCCAGCAAUGCCGCGUGAGUGAUGAAGGCCCUAGGGUUGUAAAGCUCUUUUACCCGGGAUGAUAAUGACAGUACCGGGAGAAUAAGACUCCGGCUAACUCCGUGCCAGC
rnacentral:rRNA from 1 species